AUUCAAAUGAACAUACAUUGCCCCUGCAAUGUGGGUGUGGCAAAAACAUGCAAGAUUCUUCAAAUAUACAAUGUUACUGCUGUUUUAAAUCCGGCGUCUCCUGAGCUUGAAUAUCCGGCGUCUCCUGAGCUACUUGUGUCUUAGCCUGAUAAACCUGCUUCACCUGCUUCUCAUUUGGACCUAUCGAUGUUGCUUCUUGUUUGAAGUACAUUCCAGUGUUUCCUGCAGCUGUUUUGUUG
rnacentral:lncRNA from 1 species